GUGCCAUCUAGUGAUAGAAACAAACAAUACCAUAUACCUAAAUAAAAAAUAAAUAAAGGAAAGGAAAAUGGAAGGACACAAUAAUUGUAUAGAUUAAUUGUAAAUAAAGUAUAGGGAAAUUACAGCAAUACAACGAUAAACUAUUUGUUAGUGUAAACUUUAUCUGAGAGGGAUGAAGGUUUUGUGGUUUCACAUAGAACUAAUCUAAAGGCUCAGAAAGGUCCAGAUCAUUGCAG